rnacentral:rRNA from 1 species
AUUGAACGCUGGCGGCAGGCCUAACACAUGCAAGUCGAACGAGUGGCGGACGGGUGGGUAAUGUCUGGGGAACUGCCUGCUGGAGGGGGAUAACAACUGGACACGGUAGCUAAUACCGCAUACCAUCAGAUGUGCCCAUAUGGGAUUAGCUUGUUGGUGGGGUAAAGGCUCACCAAGGCGACGAUCCCUAGCUGGUCUGAGAGGAUGACCAGCCACACUGGAACUAAGACACGGGCCAGGCUCCUAAGGGAGGGAGCAGUGGGGAAUAUUGCACAAUGGGCGGAAGCCUGAUGCAGCCAUGCCGCGUGUAUGAAGAAGGCCUACGCGUUGUAAAGUACUUUAAGCGGGGAGGCGUUACCCGCAGAAGAAGCACCGGCUAACUCCGUGCCAGCAGCCGCGGUAAUAC